UGCACAUUUUAUUUUCCUAGAAUAUGGAUGGUAUAGCUACAAUUUAUGAUAAUUACAGAGGUUUUUAGAUAUUUUUACGCAGCCACACUGAAAACCAAAAGCUUCUCUUCUUUAAAACUAUGAUCACGAGGGGUUGAAACUAAAAAUGUGCAAAUGCACACAUGUAUGUGUUUUUUUUAAUCCCCCUUAUAUGUUAGAUUAUUUUUGAGGGACUAUUUUUUCCCCUUGCCACCUACAUUUUCCCUACAUGGUAUUGGGCGGAGGGACACACUUCAUGCUUAGUUCAGCUAGAGAGACCAUAAAAGGCAAGAGCAACUUGUUUAUCAUUAGACCUAUGGGAAGAGCAACCGACAGGAGAGGCAUUCAGGCAAGGGAAGGCGUGAGCUUUUUUUUCCAUUAAUUUAUAUUUAGGCUUUAGAAUUUCUUUUAUCUCCCUACUAGAAUUUUAGCUUUAUUCUAGUGGGUUAAUAUUUUUAUAAAUUUACAUUUUUAUUUUCUGAAAGUGUAGAAGGUAAAAAAAAACAGAAGCAAAUUGUAUUUGAUAGAUUAGAAACUACGGUGAUCCAGAAUUAAGAAAGCAGAGGAAGAAAAAAAAAAUUAGCAUUACUAAACAACUGUAGUCACACAGCCAUGAAAUGCAUAACAGGCUUUGUGUGUUGUCACACUAGCCACAAAAAGAUUAAAACUGAGCUCUUUAACUAUUCAAAGCAAGUCCAUAGGUGAUAUCUGAGAAAACAAACACUAACAAUAACAAAGGAAAAUGGCUAGAGCAGAACUCUUUAUGAAAUGAAAGAGCUUGAUGCAUACCUGCACUAUGCUCAGAAAAAAAUAGAAGAAAGCUGGCAAAGAAAAACAGAAGACUAGAAAAAGUAUGGGAAUUUGUAAGCUGAAAAAAAGAAACAAGUCUAUGUGGAAAAUGAGAGAUCAGAGUCACAAAACAGACUAGCUUGAAACUUGAAGAUUGGUAAAGAAAAAAAGAAGAUAAAAAAAAGAAGAUAGCUGCCUUAAGAACAAAGAAUAUAGUUAUUAAACAGGUCACUUGCUUAUAGCUGCCUUGAAAAAAGAAGAAAAUAGCCAGUGCACUAAAUUACAUUGAAAAUAGAAGAAAGGAUGACUUAGCUGUAUUUAUACAGUGUGAGAUAUUCUAACUGCAGUGAAAACAGAAGUUACAGUGAAAAGACAAGAAUAAUAGACGUGCUCAAGUAAGGAAGAAAAUCAAGCAAGAAAUGAAAUUUUUUACAUGCAGUAGAAAUUCAAGCUUUGUCAUGCCCUAAGCUGACAAUAGCAAUACAGAAUAAGCAGAAAGCUCUAGACGGAGGUAAUAAAACAAUCUAGAAGGAAAAUAGAGUACACUGGAGAACUAGCUCUCUUUAAAACAAAUCAUCAAAGUCAGUCAGGACUAGAUUAAGAAGAGGAAAACAGAAGAGUAGAAGAGGAGGGUUUGUUUUCUUUUUAGGAAGAAGCAGGAAGAUUUUAGAAGAGGAUGAAUUAAGAAGCAGGAAGACAAGGAGAAAUUGCUCUGAAAGGAAGGACAGGACUGAGAUUUUCUGCAUAGUGUCUUGCUAGGCAGAAUUACUUGAUGGACUCUGCUACUCUUCUAUCAUUAGCAUUGUAAUUAUGUGAUCGCUUGGGAGUUGCGUAUGAGGACUUGAGUAUAUGUACUUCCAGUUGGACUCCGCCUAAAAGCAGUUAGCAAUUUGCAAAGGGACUGAGUAAUUAUGGUUGUUGUACCAGUUGUAAAUUAUUUGAUGAAGAUGAACGGGAAGCUUAGGACCAAGGCAAAAAAAUCUGCUGAUGUCGGUGAAGGUAGAACGGGCCAGGAUCAAGUGGUGGUAGUAAACACAGGAAUAAUCAAGUGGCUUCAGUUCAGCUCGGGCCAGGAUCAAGUGGUGGUAGUAAACACAGGAAUAAAUCAAGUGGCUUCAGUUCAGCUAGAGAGCUUGUUGGAUGACCCCCAAGGGGAGGUAGAAUCAUCUAGCAAUUGAUAUCCUGGAAGGCAGAAAAAGCAAGCUUGUGUUCUAAUUGCCCGUACGUAUAUGGUAAAAGGGAUAAGUAAUUCUUGGGGUGGGGGAGGAUUGGGGGAUGGUCUUUUUCAGCUUUUGUUUUUCAGGACUGUAUCCAAGAAUUGCUGCUGGUGCAAUGUAAACAUCCUUGAACAUUUAUUACCAGUAAGAGAACUUGGCAAGUUCAAGCCAUCUAGCCUUUGGGAAAUCCUUCUAUACAAGGGUAGUGUUUUUUUUUAGCUUGGUCUGUGUAACCUCAGCAGCAGCUGGAUCACAGUGUCUUUGGUAAGAAUAUUAUUUUUAUUUUUUCCAAAGAGUUAAAAGUACAGUUACAUCCAUAUCAUUCCUCUCACCCACUACUUUAGCUUACUAUUAUGGAUUUUCAUAAGUUUGUAGUUGUUAAUAAGCUAGUGGGGUAUAAAUCUAUUUAGUGACUGGCGUGGGGUUGGGGUGCAAAUAUUUUGUAUUUAGAUUUUUUUUUGCAGAAAUGCGUUGUGAUGUAUGUGUAAAUGGCAAGAGUAUCUUCUGCUGUGGUUUGCCAGAAUCUGGAUUCAUACUUUGUCACAGGUAGUUUUUACAUUUCUUGCUGGAUUGGAUGUAUUUGUAUGUAUGUAUAUAGAUAUAUAUUAAAUAACAUUGUAACCGGGGCACAACAAUAUAUGCUUUUAGCUCCUUAUCCUUAUAAAAGGAGGAGACAAAUAAUACCCAGCAAGUUCUGCUUAUAAAAAAUAAUACUGGGCUGGAAAUUUGGGUUCAAACAUAGCAAAGCAACUGAAGUUAUACUUGUUGUACAAACAGCAAUAAGCAUGCCUGUGGGCUGAUCUUUGUGCUGGUGUUAAUAAUAACUGAUUUAUUCAGUUUUAGUACAGAUCUAAAUUAAUUUAUGAUUGCAUUCCAAAUAUGCGUAUUGCAUGUAUGUAUUGUCUGAAUAAAGAAAGUGUAUAUUUAAUUAUGAGGGCAGGGAUGCAAGUGCUUAAGGUGUUCAUGUCUAUUCUGCUCAAUAAACAUAAUUACAAUUCAGAACCUACCUAUACAAACCUAGUUGAAAUUUGUCUGUUAUAUGUUGUGGUGGAGAAUGUUUUGCCUUAGACUUUUUCAGAUUCAGCUCAUGAGACUGCACUAAGGUAUUCCUAAUGAACGAGUCAAGAGUAAUACAGUGUAAAAGUAUACAGGAAAUAUGAAAGAAUAAGGAUGUUUCCAAAUUUCAAAAUAUUGAAGCAAGUUGGUGAACCUGAAGCAGGCAAGGUUGCCACUACAGAAUAAUCAGCUUUCUUUAACCAGAAGUUAUCCUAACCAGAAGUUAUCCUUGUAUUUGCAAAAAAUUCAAUUCCUGAGCAUACACAACAGCGGAUGUAAAUGUAAGCCAGCUAGAAUCUGGGACCAGCAUACUAGUUAGUUUCUGUAAUUUGACGGUGUCUGUAAAAGCAAAAGCAGAUGGAUCAGCACCCUCUUGUGGUCUUUGGUAAGAAUAUAAACUUUUGUCUUUACUAAAGGGCUAGAACUUUAUGCAAAGCUUUUUUCGUUUUUGUGUCCAUUUAAUUAGAGGUAGAGUACAAACCCCUCUUAUUUUUUAUUAUUUGAGUAUUGAAGAUGAUGGUACAAUAUAUACUGGGUUACUGAAGCCUAUACUGGCUUCUAGAGAGAAAUUGGGAUGGGUUGGGCUGCAAACUGGUUUUCUUUAGUUUUUUUUUUGCUGUGGUUUGCAAGAAUAUAGACUUUGUUCUUGUGCACAGGUAGACAUUUCAUAUCUCAUUGGAUGGGCGUCUGUAAAUAAAUACACAGCUUAUUCCAAAGAAGUGUUGUAUCGGGAUUAAAAUGGGGAUGUUUGUGAUAUAUAACUUUUAAAUUUACAAAGAGGGAGAUGAAUACUUGCUUAUUAACAAAAAAUCAUGAGAAUGUGUGGCUAGAAAUAAGUAUGCAAUAAGCAUUCCCUGUGCUGGUGUUCAUAAUGAACAUUAUGUAGUUGACUUAUAUUACUUAAAGCACCACAUUUAAUUUGUGGUUGUGUUAUGAAUAUAUGCAUUGUUUGCGUGGGCAUUUGAGUCUCAUGUUCAGUAAAUACUCUUUGUUUUAAAUUCAUUAUUAUGUAUAUGUUGGGAGGGGAGGGUGAGAAAAACUUUCCUUAGACUCUUUCAGAUUCGUCUUGUGAAAUGGCAACAAGCCAGAUGUGAAUUGAGUUUGAAGUUACCAUCCUAAACUUACAAGGUAUCGCUGAUGAAUGAGUGAACCUUAAUGCAGAAUAGAAAAAGCAAGGAUUGGAAAUUUGUGUUUGACCUCCUGCUUGUUUGAAAAAAGGCAGUGGCUUUAUAAUAUGCAGAUAAGAUCAAUACCAUAGAAGAUUCAGAUUUCACUAUCCAGAAGUUCUACGUAUAUGGCAAAUUCCAUUACAGCAUUUUUCAAGAGUUCUCGUUGACUUAGGAACAGGACUUAAGAAUUCUACUGAAGCAAAGAUAAGAAAUUAAUUUAUCAAGUAUUUACCAAGAUGUGUGUAGAAGUGAGUCACAUACAAGAAUAAGCAAAAAUUGUCAGACCAGAAUAUUAAUUACAUUGGCUGCUAGCAAUGAAAGACUUCAGACAGAUAUAAAUUAUUAUCUGGCAAGCAGUAACCCCAAAAUAUUUCAAUAAUAUGAAGAAAAAUAUCUUAAAGACUGAAAUUAGUAAUUUAAAUCCACUCCAUGGAAAUAAUUACACGUUGUAUACCUGAGGAUGAAUUUUGAAUUUAACCCUUACAACAGUGCUUAGAUCAAAAAGAUAACGUUAGACUGGACAAGAAUCAAGUUGAGGAGCCUGCAGUUUGAGAUCUUGGAGCUAGAACAGGCAAGGAUCAAGUGAUAGUGAUACACCUAAAGAAAAGAUCAAGUGGCUUCAGUUGAGAUAGAAAGCCUUGAAGAUCCCAUGGGGAGACAAAAGCCUCUAGCAGUUGAUGUCCUGGAAGGUAGAGAGAACGAGCCUGUGUUCUAAUUGCCAGAUCUAUCGUAUGUAUAUGGUAAAAUUUAGAAUUGGGUGUAGAUGGGGUUAGGGUCAUUGUGUUUUUGUAGUUUAUCUUUUUCAGGAUAAUGUAAAAUAUAACUCCUGGUGCAGUGUAAUUAUCCGCCGCAUUUAUUAUAUGUAAGUGCCUUUUGUAACUUCAAGCCAGCUAGCGUUUGGGAACCCAUCAAGUAUCAGUAUGUAGAUAUCCUCUAAUUUGAUAUGGCAGAAAUCAGCAACAAAUGGAUCAGCACCCUUUUGUGGUCUUUGGUAAGAAACACUUUUAAAAACUAUUUCAUAAAGGAAAAACUGUAUUAAAUCAUCAUAUUGGGCAAAAAUGAGCAGUGGGGAUUCUGUUAAAAGUUCUAAACAGAAAAUAAGAAAGUGAAAUGUGUAUGUUAUAUGUUGGUGUGGUGGAGAAUGUUUUGCUUAAAACUCUUUCAGAUUCAACUGAUGGCACCAAGCUAAAUCGGAAUUUACUUUGAAGUUACAAUCAUAAAAUAUCAAGGUAUUCCUGAUGAAUGAGUGAAAAGUAUUACAGAAUAGAAGUUUAAGCCUGAAAGAACAGAAAUGUCUGAAAUACAAAAUAUUUGACAAAUAUUGCUACUGUAGAAGAAUCAACAAUCCUUAUCCAUAGGGUCUCCAAGUAGUUACAAAAAAUUCUAUCACUCUUUAUUCCACAAAUUACAUUUUAAACAGGAAUUUACCAUAUAAGAAUCACUGUGAAGCACCAAUACAGUUACAGAAUAACCCAGUGUAUAGAAACGGUCUGCACUCAUCCAACAAGAAAAAAAACUGUAAUGGGAAAAUUACUUAUAAAAUGAAUAUCAAGGAAUAUGCAUUUGCUGACAGAAAUAGAAGUUUAAGCCUGAAAGAACAGAAAUGUCCGAAAUACAAAAUAUUUGACAAAUAUUGCUACUGUAGAAGAAUCAACAAUCCUUAUCCAAAGGGUCUCCAAGUAGUUACAACAAAUUUUAUUACUCUUUAUUCCACAAAUUACAUUUUAAACAGGAAUUUACCAUAUAAGAAUCACUGUGAAGCACCAAUACAGUUACAGAAUAACCCAGUGUAUAGAAAUGGUCUGCACUCAUCCAAAAAGAAAAAAAACUGUAAUGGGAAAAUUACUUAUAAAAUGAAUAUCAAGGAAUAUGCAUUUGCUGACAGAAAUGGAAAAAAGUUAGAUAAAAAGUUGUACUUGAAGACAUAGCUCGAGCAUAUUGUUAUGAUGUGGUAAAAAAGCGUUGUGGAACUAGAUUGUGAAAAGAUCAUUACUGUGAUCCCAGGACAAAUUAAGCAGCUUCAGUUCAACUAGGACAGUAUAUGGAGGACACCAAUGGAAGUUGGAAGCUUCGAUGUCCUGGAAAACAAGGCAAGCUUGCAUAACUGACAGUCCCAGCAUAUUUAUAUUAUUAGUAUUCCAAAUAUAUGUGAGUGUCACUUUAUAAUAUGCAAAUAAGAUCAAUACCAUAGAAGAAUCAGAUUUCACUAUCACUAUCCAUUACAGCAUUUUUCAAGAGUUUUCGUUGACUUAGGAACAGGACUUAAGAAUUCUACUGAAGCAAAAAUAAGAAAUUAAUUUAUCAAGUAUUUACCAAGAUGUGAGUAGAAGUGAGUCACAUACAAGAAUAAGCAACAAUUGUCAGACCAGAAUAUUAAUUACAUUGGCUGCUAGCAAUGAAAGACUUCAGAGAGAUAUAAAUUAUCCGGGAAGCAGUAAACCCAAAAUAUUUCAUUACUUUUAAUAUGAAGAAAAAUAUCUUAAAAGACUGAAAUUAGUAAUUAAAAUCCACUCCAUGGAAAUAAUUACACGUUGUAUACCUGAGGAUGAAUUUUACCCUUACAACAAUGCUUAAAUCAAAAAGAUAACGUUAGGCUGGACAAGAAUCAAGUUGAGGAGCCUGCAGUUGAGUUCUUGGAGCUAGAACAGGCAAGGAUCAAGAGAUAGUGGAACACUUAAAGAAAAGAUCAAGUGGCUUCAGUUGAGAUAGAAAGCCUUGAAGAUCCCAUGGGGAGACAAAAGCCUCUAGCAGUUGAUGUCCUGGAAGGUAGAGAGAACGAGCUUGUGUUCUAAUUGCCAGAUCUAUUGUAUGUAUAUGGUAAAAUUUAGAAUCGGAUGUAGAUGUGGUUAGGGUCGUCUGAGGCUUUUUUGUGUUUUUGUAGUUUAUCUUUUUCAGGAUAAUGUAAAAUAUGAUUCCUGGUGCAGUGUAACUAUCCGCCGCAUUUACUACAUGUAAGUGACUUUUGUAAAUUCAUGCCAGCUAGCGUUUGGGAACCCAUCAAGUAUCAGUAUGUAGAUAUCCUCUAAUUUGUAAUGGGAGAAAUCAGCAACAAAUGGAUCAGCACCCUUUUGUGGUCUUUGGUAAGAAUCACUUUUUAAAAACUAUUUCAUAAAGGAAAAACUGUAGUAAAUCAUCAUAUUGGGCAAAAAUGAGCAGUGGGGAUUCUGUUAAAAACGCUAAACAGCAAAUAAGAAAGUGAAAUGUGUCUGUUAUAUGUUGGUGUGGUGGAGAAUAUUUUGCUUAAAACUCUUUCAGAUUCAUCUGAUGGCACCAAGCUAAAUGGGAAUUUACUUUGAAGUAACGAUCAUAAAAUAUCAAGGUAUUCCUGAUGAAUGAGUGAAAAGUAUUACAGAAUAGAAGUUUAAGCCUGAAAGAACAGAAAUGUCCGAAAUACAAAAUAUUUGACAAAUAUUGCUACUGUAGAAGAAUCAACAAUCCUUAUCCAGAGGGUCUCCAAGUAGUUACAACAAAUUCUAUUUCUCUUCAUUCCACAAAUUAAAUUUUAAACAGGAAUUUACCAUAUAAGAAUCCCUGUGAAGCACCAAUACAGUUACAGAAUAACCCAGUAUAUAGAAACGGUCUGCACUCAUCCAAAAAGAAAAAAAUCUGUAAUGGGAAAAUUACUUGUAAAAUGAGUAUCAAGGAAUAUGCAUUAGCUAACAAAUGGAAAAAAGUUAACAUGAAAAGAUGAAAAGUUCUACUUGAUCGAAAACAUAGCUCGAGCAUGUUGUUAUGAUGUGGUAAAAAAAAGCGAUGUGGAACUAGAUUGGAAAAAGAUCAUAACUGUAAUCCCAGGACAAAUUAAGCAGCUUCAGUUCAACUAGACAGUAAAUGAAGGACCCCAAUGGAAGUUGGAAGCUUUGAUGUACUGGAAAACAAGGCAAGCUUGAGUAAUUGACAGUCAUAUUUAUAUUAAUAGUAUUCCAAAUAAAGGUGGGAAAGGUGGGAGGAUGGUGGUUUGCAGUUUUUAUUUUUCAGGAUUACACAGUAAAGCGCCUGGUGCCGUAACUAUUCCUGAGCAUAUACUAUAUAUAAGUGGAAGAAGCAAGCACAAGCCAAAUAAGAUCUGGGACCUCAGAAUAUCUUUAUAUAGUUAGCUUCUGUAAUCUAAAGGUGUGUAAAUCAGGAGCAGAUGGAUCCUUUUAUGGUCAUUUGUAAGGGUAAGAAUAUUACUUACUGGCUUUCCAAAAAGGUAAAAACUUUGUAAAAAUGUUUUUACUUUUUUUGUAACGUUUUGUAGGUCGAUUUCUAGAAGUGCAGUAUUUUUAAUUUAAUUAUUUAAGCAAUGAGGAUUAUAUUACAAUAUGCAUGGGUUAUUGGGGUGUUUGGUGUCAUGGCAUGGCAGAGAUCCUUGUGUCUUGUGUGAAAUUAGCGCCCUUGGCUUUAAAAUAGAAAACUACAUUUUGUUGUAUGUGUUGGGGGGGGGUGUAAAAUAUUUCAACUUAGAUUCUUUCAGAUUCUAUUGAUGAAAUGGCAACAAUUCAGAUGUGAAUUGAGUUUGAAGAUACCAUCCGAAACUUUCAAGGUAUCGCUGAUGAAUGAGUGAGCAGUAAUGAAGAAUAGAGAUAACAUUUGAAAGUGCAAUUUGCGUUGGACCACCUGAAUAUUUGAAAAGAGCCAGUGGCUUUAUAUAAUGUAGAUAAGAUUGAUUCCAUAGAAGAAUCAGAUAUCAGUAUCCAGAAUUUCUACAACAAAUUCCAUUACAGUUUAUUUCAAGAGUUAACUUUGACCUACUAACACAACUUCUAAGAAUACUACUGAAGCAAGAAUAAGAUGUCCAAAUUAAUCUAAGCAUUUACCAGGAUUUGAGCGUAUAGAAGUAAACCUCAAACAAGAAAAAUCAACAGCAGCCAGUUAUAUGAUGUAGUAACCAGAACAUUGAUCCAAAGUAUUUGAAAACCUCAACCUUAAAGACUGAAAUUAUCAAUAAAUGAAUGAAAGAUUCAAUACUUAGGAUUCAUUUAGACCUCACAAUAUUGCUUACAGCAAGCUAAUGAAGUUAGGCUGAGCAAGAAUCGUAUAGAAGAGCCUGCAGUCGAGAUCUUGGAGCUAGAAUUGGCAAGGACCAAGUGGUAGUGAUACUCCCAAAAGAAAAAACAUGGGAGUCCAGUUGAGCUAGGGAGCCUUGAAGAUCCCAAAGGGAGUUAGAAGCCUCUAGCAGUUGAUGUCCUGGAAGGCAGAGAAGGAAAGCGUUUUUUUCAGACCCACUGGUUGUACAUAAUCGUCCUGUGAAAUGGCACCAAACCAAAUGUAAACUGAGUUUGAAGUUAACCAUUCCAAAGUUUCCAGGUAUUGCCAAGGAGUGAAAGAUAACGUGAUAAAAGUGUUAACGUUUGAAUGAGAGAAUUCGAUUGAAGAAUCAUCAUUCCUUCAUAUCAAGAAGUGCUUCCUUUAUUUGAUGCAAAGUCAGUAGUGAUAUAGGAGUUCCCCACAGAUGAAUCAGAUUCAAAAAUUCAAAUGUAAAUGAUAUGCCUACCAUCACCUUCUAGUAACUGCAUUGUAUACAACGGACUUUCAGAAUUUUUCAUUAAAUGAGAGAUAUCACCACUAAAUGGCAAGAAAUUAAUACAGAUUCCUUCAUUUCAAACAAAAAACCCAACAGUUCAGCUAUGGCUUAAGUUUCUUUCAUGAUUUGAAAACCAGAAUUAAGUGCACUUCUCGGUAUGGAUGAGUUUCCCUGUCGUCUUUUGUGAGAGAAUGCCUAUACCCGCAGUGGCUUAUCAGGAUGAAAGGAAGAGUGUAUUUGACCUCACACAGGCAGACAUGAAAGCAAAUUAGAGGCAAAUAGAACGUCUUUAGCUAUAUUGGAAGAUGGAAGCAACCAUUUUAACAGAUAAGUGUUAUAGCAGCAUGUGUAUAUAUUUUCCUUUGGGGAAAAAAUUGCCUUAAGCGAGAAUUCUCAUAAUAAUUUGUGACCGCAAUCAAGUUAGUUAUAGAAUAACUUUAGAAUGAAGAUUGAAUACAUAUGAAUUAUGAUAAGAACAUUAGACUUGGAAUAUGGGACUAAUGCUUUAAUGCUUAUUCCUGCAUAUCAUCUAUACAAACUGAAGUUACACCAUAUCAUUUGUCUAAUUAUUGUGGGGAUAGUUGGGGUGGUGGGGGCUCUUACUUUGCAGUUUUUCUUUCUUUUCUCAUAGGAACCAUAAAUGUAAGGUUACCAACGAUGGAGCUGACUUAAUUGUGCACGUUUCUGAUUGUGAACAUUUCACAAGGACGUACUCCUGCUUUACUCUGAUAUUUACAGAUUGUAGUGCUACUAUAACUUGUGGCUAUUUACUGUAAGCAUAGUUUACCUAAGUAUUCUAUUCUGGGUGUUGGGGGGCUUACCUUGCAGAUUUUUUUUCCUUUUCUCUUCACAUAGGCGACAUAACUGUAAGGCUAACAUCGAUGGAGUUGAUUUAUUCCGCUGUUUAUUUCACUAACGGACUGACAUUUCAGUUCUUUAAAGUUCAAUGUUAGCAAAACCCGCUAAGUAAACUAAAAAAUUGGUGAGAAACAGGUCUUUGUGGGUUUUUUUCUAAUUUAAAGUGAAUGUUGGGGAUUUCUAACAGUAUUUACAUUAAUAAGUAGUAUAUUCAGAUCCCAAUGAGAACCCUACAGGGUACUUUAUAGCUGUAGUUUACUAGCUAUAGUACACGAGUAUACUAUCUGUAGUUUACUUACAUAAAUUACCACCAAGACCAUGAAUCCUUUUAAUAUAUAAAACUUUAAAUGGAACAUUCAAGGACUGAAAGUGUACAUAGGCUGCUUACUUUGUUGGGGGAGGGCAAUAUUUGUUGUGUUCUUACACUUUUUCAGAGACAUCCUACGUUAUAAAGCACAGCUUCACUCCAGGAGCUACAGAGGAAUAAGUCUUGCAAAUACUCAGUUUCGUCUGCUGCUCUUCCUGUAUGCUUUUGGCUUGUAACACUUUGUAAAUUCCCAUUACAUCUAUAACUUCUUGAUUGCCGAUCAAAAGAAAAGUAGGGAGGCGCUCAGGGGAUCCCAAACCUUUAUGCAACUUUAUUUAUUACGUGGCUCUUUACGCAGAGCAAAAUGAUUGGAUUCUGUAGCAGGUAAUGUGCAACGUGUGCAUGUGUCUCCCUCGUAGCUCGUUUGUAACGAAUGGAAUGUAUCUACAUCUCUGUCGUGAAUGGGCACGGAAUAUAUUUAAAUGUGAGCAUUAGACCCGAGCUUGUUAAUAAUCCCAUGUGAUUUAUUGUCAAGACUUGAAUGUUCUUGUGGAUUUUUUUUUCAGGGUUUGGGGGGGAGUUUAUUCUUUUCUUUUACAGAUGCACCUGACAAAUUAGUGACGUGAAAUUUGCACUUUAUCUCAAAAUGCACUAUUCUUCGUAUUGGUGGCAAGUCAUUCUAUUCUGAAGCAUUAUCUGCCAAGUUCUACUGCAUGUUGUUGUAUGCGUGCUUUCUUUGUUCUUUCUUCAGAAUUAGUUUGCAACGUGAAUGUGCUGUGAAACCUGCCUCUGUAAGGCUUGUAAAAUUUCAGCGGGGAUUCAGAGGGGGCUCUGUUUCUAGCUUAUGUCUCACAGAUUGGCUAAUGGAUUUCAAGAUCGCGGUGUAGAAGAUCAAAGCUCGCAAUCUAACAGGCCCUUUUUUAAUUGUCAGAGCGUCCUAGAUAUCCAGCUUCUGUCUGCAGAAUAUUUUAACCUGUCUUAAGUGAGGUUUGUGUCUUUAAAUUCUUGUAGAUUUAAAUUCUUCUAGAUUUAAAAAAAUCCAUAUACCUCAUGAAUACAAGAGCUAAAUUGCUCAUCCACUGUACUAAAGAUACUUGCCCACUUGUCCAUACUCGAACUUGAAAAAAGAUCUUUUAAAAUCAUAGCUUUACAGAUGGCUAUUUCCUCUGUUUGUAAAACCCCCCCUCCCUUGUGAAUGGGUUAGUUCAAAAUAACCUUGAAUGCAAAUAGAAGGCCUUACCAUCAAACUGAAGAUCAUCAUUUUGUGGGUUUUGGGGAGGGAGUUAAUCUACAACAUGUCUUCAGAUUUGUCUUUUCAGGUUUGCAAUAAAAUGAUCCAGGCUAGAAAAGUAAGAGUAACAUCCUUCUUUUGGGUGGGUCCUUAAGUAUAAUCGUGGUCAGGUACUGCACCUCAGCAAGGCAUCUAAAUUGAAGGGGGGGAGUAGAACACCUUUUAUCUCUACAUUCGUGAAUAAGGAGUACGCAAAUAUGGCAAAGCAGUCUCAAUUGUGUAUACAUCAAAGUUUAGUGGUACGUAUGUUUCUUGUUCAAGAGCGUCAGCGCCAACUCUUAACAUAUCAACUCUUUUUGAAAAUAUAUUUAGCUCAGUUGCCAAAAUUGUCUUCUUCUUUAAAUCCUUUAUGUGAAUGCAUUGGAUUUGGAAGUGGGGGGGGGGGGCAUAUAAUUAAUAUGUUCUAUCUACAGUCUUCUGGAAGUCAAGAACAUGUCUGAUUGUGCUACCGAGUGAAGUUGUGACCUUACACUGAAUCCAAGAAUGCACGCCUCCUUCAUCAGAAACAUCUUAUUUGUUUUUAU